rnacentral:rRNA from 1 species
GAUGAACGCUAGCGGCAGGCCUAACACAUGCAAGUCGAGGGGUAACGGGGAGUGCUUGCACUCUGCCGACGACCGGCGCACGGGUGCGCACCGCGUAUGGAACCUGCCUCUUGCAGGGGAAUAGCCCAGGGAAACUUGGAUUAAUGCCCCGUAGUACCUUUUUGUAGCAUUACAUUUAGGUUAUAGCCUUCGGGCGGCAAGAGAUGGCCAUGCGUCCCAUUAGCUAGAUGGUAAGGUAACGGCUUACCAUGGCUACGAUGGGUAGGGGCCCUGAGAGGGGGAUCCCCCACACUGGUACUGAGACACGGACCAGACUCCUACGGGAGGCAGCAGUGAGGAAUAUUGGACAAUGGAGGGGACUCUGAUCCAGCCAUGCCGCGUGCAGGAAGACGGCCCUAUGGGUUGUAAACUGCUUUUAUACGGGAAGAAAAACAGCCUACGUGUAGUUGACUGACGGUACCGUAAGAA